UUGAACGCUGGCGGCAGGCCUAACCCAUGCAAGUCGAACGGUAACAGGAAGAAGCUUGCUUCUUUGCUGACGCGUGGCGGACGGGUGAGUAAUGUCUGGGAAACUGCCUGAUGGAGGGGGAUAACUACUGGAAACGGUAGCUAAUACCGCAUAACGUCGCAAGACCAAAGAGGGGGACCUUCGGGCCUCUUGCCAUCGGAUGUGCCCAGAUGGGAUUAGCUAGUAGGUGGGGUAACGGCUCACCUAGGCGACGAUCCCUAGCUGGUCUGAGAGGAUGACCAGCCACACUGGAACUGAGACACGGUCCAGACUCCUACGGGAGGCAGCAGUGGGGAAUAUUGCACAAUGGGCGCAAGCCUGAUGCAGCCAUGCCGCGUGUAUGAAGAAGGCCUUCGGGUUGUAAAGUACUUUCAGCGGGGAGGAAGGGAGUAAAGUUAAUACCUUUGCUCAUUGACGUUACCCGCAGAAGAAGCACCGGCUAACUCCGUG
rnacentral:rRNA from 1 species